CUUGAAUUUCUCAAUUUUGAAAGGCGGCGAUACGGAUAUCGGGACAGCGUAUCAAUCGAAUUGAUUUUGGCGUACAUAGUUCUGCAGCAGUUGAGAAUCUGGGCAUCUUUUGGAGUUAAG